UGUGGCGGGCUGCUUACCAUGCAAGUCGAACGGCAGCACGGGUGCUUGCACCUGGUGGCGAGUGGCGAACGGGUGAGUAAUACAUCGGAACAUGUCCUGUAGUGGGGGAUAGCCCGGCGAAAGCCGGAUUAAUACCGCAUACGAUCUAAGGAUGAAAGCGGGGGACCUUCGGGCCUCGCGCUAUAGGGUUGGCCGAUGGCUGAUUAGCUAGUUGGUGGGGUAAAGGCCUACCAAGGCGACGAUCAGUAGCUGGUCUGAGAGGACGACCAGCCACACUGGGACUGAGACACGGCCCAGACUCCUACGGGAGGCAGCAGUGGGGAAUUUUGGACAAUGGGCGAAAGCCUGAUCCAGCAAUGCCGCGUGUGUGAAGAAGGCCUUCGGGUUGUAAAGCACUUUUGUCCGGAAAGAAAUCCCUGGUCCUAAUAUGGCCGGGGGAUGACGGUACCGGAAGAAUAAGCACCGGCUAACUACGUGCCAGCAGCCACGGUAAUAAG
rnacentral:rRNA from 1 species